CCUGAGCCUAAGCUGGGACAUAUAGGAGUAAAGAAAAUGCCAGCAAACCCAUUGCCAUAUCCAUCUUCCUUGGAAUGUUGAUACCCCUCCACCUGCCUGUUCUUAUUUUCUUUUUAGACUUCCCUGAUGACUGCUGUAUGUAUUCUGCCUGGGGUCUUUAGCUGUGAUCACUGGAAGAGAUAGAGUGGUGUGUAUUUGCUCCAUCUUAACCAGCUCUGGAAACCUGUUUAACUGGCAAUUUAUUUCCAACGUUGAUAUAAAUACCACAAGUUGAGAUGAUUACAAUAUCUGAUUUUGCAAGAGCAUCUCAGCCAGGCCCAGGGAGUGGCUAGAAGUUUCUGGAUGGAAGCACGAGAAUUCAGAACUGACGUAUUCCAUCCGUGACGUUUUCUCAUAUGGGGAAACAGAGGCACAGAAAGGGGAGGCCGACCAACGGGAAGAACCACAGAAAGCACUUGCCCACUUUCCUGUUUACCUCACACCAGACGUGGGCGCCGGCACCCCGUGCUCUGGUCAGACGGGGACCAGUGAGCUGACGGAGGAACCACCUCCCCCCUCGGCUUCCCUGCGCCAGGCUGAGCCUCGCAAUGCUGCCCUGCCCCGAAAUUCGGAAGAACGGCAGGAACGAUGACAGGACAGCCAAAGCCGACACGGAGCCGAAGGGAGAGUCCUCGGAAG
rnacentral:lncRNA from 1 species